AGCAGCUUACUCCUCACACUCAGAGCCAAGAAGAAGAAGAAGAAGCUUUGGAGCAUCCAUCAGACAUCUCUCUCCGACAGACAGGUAUUGUUCAGACUGACAGACAAAAAGGAAGAUGGCUGGCCUGUGUUGGAUAUCUGUGCUGCUGGCAGUCAGUCUGUCUAUUCGAGACUGUGAGCCGUUGGAUAUCGGUUACGUUACAGAUAUUGCUGCACGCAUCGA